UCCACCCCCUCCACCGAAGGUCUGGGGACAAGCCAGGGCGACAAUUUGAUGGUAGUGCUUUUGGAGCCAAUUACUCCUCACAGCCUCUGGAUGAGAGUUGGCCAAGGCAGCAGCCUCCUUGGAAAGACGAAAAGCAUCCUGGGUUCAGGCUGACAUCUGCACUUAACAGGACCAAUUCUGAUUCUGCUCUUCACACGAGUGCUCUGAGCACCAAGCCCCAGGACCCCUAUGGAGGAGGGGGCCAGUCGGCCUGGCCUGCCCCAUACAUGGGUUUCUGUGAUGGUGAGAAUAAUGGACAUGGGGAAGUAGCAUCUUUCCCUGGCCCAUUGAAAGAAGAGAAUCUGUUAAAUGUUCCGAAGCCACUGCCAAAACAACUGUGGGAGACCAAGGAGGUGGGUGAACAGUACUCAGCUAUGUUUGUUGUCACUGAAUGUUUGUACUUAGAGGUCACUGAAAAAUCCUGCAGAGGUGAAAACAAGAGGAACUUGGGGAAAAGGAGAAGAUUUGUCUGAGAACAGAGAUAAGAAUAUACAAGGGAAGGACGUUUCAAGUAAAAAUUAUCGCGCUUGUGUCAAUGAAUUAGCACAUUGAUCUCUUGGCUUCUAAUUUUCAUAUGAAUUGACUUAUUU
rnacentral:sRNA from 1 species